GCCCUAAAAAAGUGAGAAAUUCUUAGAGACACUUUUCUAAGCAACACUCCAGCACAUGACUCUGCCACUGCAUAUUUAAUUCCUUCUAAUGCAACAGUGAGUAAUGUCUGCUUAAUGUCUUCAUGUAGUGAAAUGCAGGCAUUGCAGAUCAUGUCUGGUCAUGGAUUUAUGCAUUAGCAGUGAAAUGCAGGCAUUGCAGAUCACAUCUGGUUGUGGAUUUAUGCAUUAGUAGUGAAAUGCAGGCAUUGCAGAUCAUGUCUGACCAUGGAUUUAUGCAUUAGCAGUGAAAUGCAGGCAUUGCAGAUCACAUCUGGUCACGGAUUUAUGCAUUAGUAGUGAAAUGCAGACAUUGCAGAUCACAUCUGGUCAUGGAUUUAUGCAUUAGUUAAGAUAGUAGCAGAUUAUUUUAUUGUUUUAGACCAGUGCUCCAGUUAAAUGAGGUAGUUCAAGAAACCCCAAGCAUAAGCAAGAGAGCUACAAAGAUCCCAGCAUAAGACCACAACAUGUAAUUUUUUUACCAAAUAUUUUUUCCAUCAAAAGUGUAAUGGCAACUCAGAGGCUUCCUAUGUGCAAGGUGAAUGGGAGGGGACUGGAAAACACUUGGAUGCUUCCAAGUGUUGUCUCUAUAGAUGUUUUUCACAAACCCAGACACACAUGGAUUUAUGUAUGAGUGAAAUCACAAAACCAUGUGGGAUGGUUGCUAUAAGGAUAAUUUUACAGGUAGUUAUCUACACUAACAUGCAUCUACACUAACACAUAUGGGUGCAUAUGAAUGUAUUAGAAAGACAAGCAAAAACAACAGAAGAUUCAGAAAAGUUAAAACCAGAAAAGACCACAAGAACGAUCCAAGAGUUUUUCUGCUUUGCAUUAGCCAGUCAUUGUUAUCUAAAGCAACCUCUGCUAGGCUGCACAAGGUGCUGAAAUCAUACAGCAUGAUGUGAAAAGAUCGUUUCACUGGCUCGUGCUGUUUGGAGGCGGCGCUGUCGGUUCCCUGAGCGGCCAGCAGGGGCCGCAGGGUUCGCAGAGAAAUCCCCGGCACCUCCUUCCUCCCGCGGCCGGGGCACAGCGGUACUCACCGAGGGACGGCAAAUGCUGCUGCUCGCCUGAGGGGUUUAAAUUGUAUGUCACUGCUAUAGGGUCCACAUUGAAGAAAGUGCUAAAAAAAAGAAAAAAAAAAAAAAGCCUUCACUGUAAAUGAACCUAGGUCUGUACUGGCACAAGUAUUUGUAACACUCAUUUCAUAGACUCGGAGAUAAAUUUUAGCCUCACUCACUUUUCAAAUCCACUGUGGGUACCCCAGCAGGUUUUCAGGCUGCCCAUGCCUUGACUGGUGUGAAGAAAUCCGGUUUUUAAGGGGACUCUCAUCUCCUGAGCAGCAACUCCUGCAGUUGACAUGGUGCAGUGCUCUCUGAGGAUGUCUCACAACCCUUGAUAUUCAGGACUUGGCAGGUUUCCUGCAGCUUUCAUUCCCUUCAAGAGGGAGGACACAAAUGUCAGAAAUAUAAACCUGAUGUUGCUCCACGUCUCAUCUGAAUUUUCAGUAUUCAAGGAAUUAAAUAGCUCUGUAGAAAGGCCUCCUAUCCUAAUACUUGCCAACUGGAAAACUUGACCAAGCUUCUUGUUUUGAGUCUGAUUGCAAAAUUAAAGUACAAAGAACUACA